GUAGGUGGCAAGCGUUGUCCGGAAUUAUUGGGCGUAAAGCGCGCGCAGGCGGUUCUUUAAGUCUGAUGUGAAAGCCCACGGCUCAACCGUGGAGGGGUCAUUGGGAAACUGGGAGAACUUGAGUACAGAAGAGGAAAGCGGAAUUCCACGUGUAGCGGUGAAAUGCGUAGAGAUGUGGAGGAACACCAGUGGCGAAGGCGGCUUUCUGGUCUGUAACUGACGCUGAGGCGCGAAAGCGUGGGGAGCAAACAGGAUUAGAUACCCUGGUAGUCCACGCCGUAAACGAUGAGUGCUAAGUGUUAGGGGGUUUCCGCCCCUUAGUGCUGCAGCUAACGCAUUAAGCACUCCGCCUGGGGAGUACGGCCGCAAGGCUG
rnacentral:rRNA from 1 species